rnacentral:rRNA from 1 species
UACGGAGGGUGCAAACGUUGCUCGGAAUCAUUGGGCGUAAAGCGCAUGUAGGCGGCAUGUUAAGUCGGGUGUGAAAGCCCAAGGCUCAACCUUGGAAGUGCAUUCGAAACUGGCGUGCUUGAAUAUGGACGAGGGUCGCGGAAUUCCCGGUGUAGAGGUGAAAUUCGUAGAUAUCGGGAGGAGCACCAGUGGCGAAGGCGGCGACCUGGGCCAAUAUUGACGCUAAGAUGCGAAAGCGUGGGGAGCAAACAGG